rnacentral:lncRNA from 1 species
AAAUUUCUUGAUUGAUUCAGUGGUUAAGUGCAUGUGUAUUAUAUGUCAUAAUGUCCUUCUACUAGACUACUAACGUGCCAAGGUUUUCCUUCACCUCUAGAACUACGAUUUCAAACCAAUUUCGUCCAAACUUGGUAUGAAUGAGCCUUAGGGAAUUUUCUCUUCUUUUUUAUUCGUUCAGACAACAAAUAUGGCCACCAUGCAUGUCUAAAAUAGAACAUAGGUAAUUAUUUUAUAUCUCAGAAAUCAUUAUAGAUAGAAAAUGUCUGACAUGGGCAAAAACAAUCGACC